AUUGAACGCUGGCGGCAGGCCUGACACAUGCAAGUCGAGCGGAUGAAGGGAGCUUGCUCCUGGAUUCAGCGGCGGACGGGUGAGUAAUGCCUAGGAAUCUGCCUGGUAGUGGGGGAUAACGUCCGGAAACGGGCGCUAAUACCGCAUACGUCCUGAGGGAGAAAGUGGGGGAUCUUCGGACCUCACGCUAUCAGAUGAGCCUAGGUCGGAUUAGCUAGUUGGUGGGGUAAAGGCCUACCAAGGCGACGAUCCGUAACUGGUCUGAGAGGAUGAUCAGUCACACUGGAACUGAGACACGGUCCAGACUCCUACGGGAGGCAGCAGUGGGGAAUAUUGGACAAUGGGCGAAAGCCUGAUCCAGCCAUGCCGCGUGUGUGAAGAAGGUCUUCGGAUUGUAAAGCACUUUUAGUUGGGAGGAAGGGCAGUAAGUUAAUACCUUGCUGUUUUGACGUUACCAACAGAAUAAGCACCGGCUAACUUCGUG
rnacentral:rRNA from 1 species